CGAAUGCUGACAUAAGUAACGAUAAAGCGGGUGAAAAGCCCGCUCGCCGGAAGACCAAGGGUUCCUGUCCAACGUUAAUCGGGGCAGGGUGAGUCGACCCCUAAGGCGAGGCCGAAAGGCGUAGUCGAUGGGAAACAGGUUAAUAUUCCUGUACUUGGUGUUACUGCGAAGGGGGGACGGAGAAGGCUAUGUUGGCCGGGCGACGGUUGUCCCGGUUUAAGCGUGUAGGCUGGUUUUCCAGGCAAAUCCGGAAAAUCAAGGCUGAGGCGUGAUGACGAGGCACUACGGUGCUGAAGCAACAAAUGCCCUGCUUCCAGGAAAAGCCUCUAAGCAUCAGGUAACAUCAAAUCGUACCCCAAACCGACACAGGUGGUCAGGUAGAGAAUACCAAGGCGCUUGAGAGAACUCGGGUGAAGGAACUAGGCAAAAUGGUGCCGUAACUUCGGGAGAAGGCACGCUGAUAUGUAGGUGAAGUCCCUCGCGGAUGGAGCUGAAAUCAGUCGAAGAUACCAGCUGGCUGCAACUGUUUAUUAAAAACACAGCACUGUGCAAACACGAAAGUGGACGUAUACGGUGUGACGCCUGCCCGGUGCCGGAAGGUUAAUUGAUGGGGUCAGCGCAAGCGAAGCUCUUGAUC
rnacentral:rRNA from 1 species